UACGUAGGGACCAAGCGUUGUUCGGAUUUACUGGGCGUAAAGGGCGCGUAGGCGGCUUAACAAGUCACUUGUGAAAUCUCCGGGCUUAACUCGGAACGGCCAAGUGAAACUGUCAAGCUAGAGUGCAGAAGGGGCAAUCGGAAUUCUUGGUGUAGCGGUGAAAUGCGUAGAUAUCAAGAGGAACAUCGGUGGCGAAGGCGCUCUGCUGGACCAUAACUGACACUCAGGGACGAAAGCUAGGGGAGCGAAUGGG
rnacentral:rRNA from 1 species